rnacentral:misc_RNA from 1 species
UCCGGAGUUUCUCCUGCGAGUCCCCGCCAUUACGCGCUGGCAACACAGGACAAGGGUUGCGCUCGUUGCGGGACUUAACCCAACAUCUCACGACACGAGCUGACGACAGCCAUGCACCACCUGUAUACCGACCACAAGGGGGGCCGUAUCUCUACGGCUUUCCGGUAUAUGUCAAACCCAGGUAAGGUUCUUCGCGUUGCAUCGAAUUAAUCCACAUGCUCCGCCGCUUGUGCGGGCCCCCGUCAAUUCCUUUGUGUUUUAGCCUUGCGGCCGUACUCCCCAGGCGGGGUACUUAAUGCGUUAGCUACGGCACGGAUCCCAAGGAAGGAAACCCACACCUAGUACCCACCGUUUACGGCGUGGACUAC